UACGAAGGGAGCUAGCGUUGUUCGGAAUCACUGGGCGUAAAGCGCACGUAGGCGGAUUGCUAAGUCAGGGGUGAAAUCCUGGAGCUCAACUCCAGAACUGCCUUUGAUACUGGGGAUCUCGAGUCCGGGAGAGGUGAGUGGAACUGCGAGUGUAGAGGUGAAAUUCGUAGAUAUUCGCAAGAACACCAGUGGCGAAGGCGGCUCACUGGCCCGGUACUGACGCUGAGGUGCGAAAGCGUGGGGAGCAAACAGG
rnacentral:rRNA from 1 species